GCGCGCGCGUAGUGUAGUGGUUAGCACGCUCGACUCAAACUCGAGAGGGUCUGGGUUCGAGUCCCAGAGGCGGCG